CUCGGCAACGGAUAUCUCGGCUCUCGCAUCGAUGAAGAACGUAGCGARAUGCGAUACUUGGUGUGAAUUGCAGAAUCCCGUGAACCAUCGAGUCUUUGAACGCAAGUUGCGCCCGAAGCCAUUAGGCUGAGGGCACGUCUGCCUGGGCGUCACGC
rnacentral:rRNA from 1 species